rnacentral:rRNA from 1 species
UUCCUUUUAUUAGUGUGUUGAAUGAAGCACACCACAUAUAUUCACGAGGGUAGCGGUGCGCUAGGUCAUAUAGAAUAAGUAGGUCACAGAGGCUCGUUCUUUCUCCGGUGCCAGCCUAUUCUGUCAUUGAUCCGAAUCGAUUCGUUAAAGUUGUUACCUCCCCCGCCCUCGUCGUGAUGACACGUCGGUCCACCCGAGCGGCGACCGCAGCAAGGGCCGCUACGACAAGUGCCACCGCCGGUACCGCCGGCCGCGCAAGCGGCACAUGAAGAUGCGCGGCAGCACCGCGGACGCGUCCCAGGGCCCGGGGGAGCGGAUGCCGGAGCAGCCGGUGGACGGCGACGACCUGUUCGUACCGAGCGUCCGGAAGCCGCAGGAGCGUUUCUUUAUGCCCGGGUAGAUGUCCAAAAUGUACCCGUCCGUCGGCGACCACCACCAGCGGCUGGGCCUCGACACGUCCCUCCGGCCGUAGUUCUUCAAGUUCUCGUAGCAGCUGUCCUCGCACGGCCAGUGGUAGCGAUCGAGCGGGUAGGUGAUGUUCUCGGAGGAGAAGUGGUUCCCGAGCUGUACCGUCCGGUACGCCUUGCACUAGUAGAGGUAGAUGGUCGGCAGCGUGGACCGCUCGGAGUAGGGCCGGUAGGUCGGGAUGUAGCUCGUCCGCCCGUUGGACAAGACGGGGCCGCUCCUCUAGUGGAAGAGGCUGUAGAGGUAGUCCGAGAAGUGGCUGCAGUAGCCGGUCCGGCGGAAGCCGCAGCUGAAGCCCGAGUGGUUCCUGUGACUGCUACGGCUCUUCUAGUAGGUGCUGCGCGGUGCGCUGAAGUAGGUCUUCGUGGACAUGCGGUGGUGCAGGGAGUUCUACCUGGAGAGCCCGAGCGACAGGUACGAGCAGCCGUGCAAGGAAGGCCGCGAGGUCUUCGGCGACGCCGUCGACUACGACGCGCACGGCCCGAGGUACCUGGCUGCCUACCUGCUCUGGUUGCGCCGCGAGUCGCCCCUCGAGCUGCGGUAGCACCGUCUCGCCUGCCGCGUCCGGCUGUCCCCGGUCUUCUUGAAGGAGAGGCACGACGAGUUGCCGUAGCUGUGGUCGCUGCGGUACUCCUUCGAGAAGUGCGGCCUGAUGCAGUCGCGCGAGUGCAUGCUCGUGGAUGAGCGCCCGAGGCCGUGGUACAGGAAGUGCGACAGCUCGGACCAUAUGGAGCACAGCCGCGUGGGCCUCCACCUCCUCUUCGACGAGGUCCUCUAGCUGCGCAAGCCCGGGUUCCUGCACCACGGGCUGCGGCUGCUGGAGGCGUGGUUCAAGGGGAUGGACCUCGUCCAGGAGUUCCUCUGGUACGCUAUGAAGGGGCCGAGGGGCCACCAGAGCUCCCUCCGCUGGCGGCUGCAGCUCUAGCCUCCGAUAAAGGACGGGUUCCCCUGCACCCACACCGACCGCUGCCGCCACGACCCCUCCCUGGGCCUCGUCAAGGGCCUCGGGCUUCGCAAGGCCGGCCUCGCCAAGCUGGGCCUCUCGCUCCUCACGUUCGCCUCCGUAGGGAUGCGCAUGUAGGGGAAGCCGUAGCCGGGCGCCCGCACGGGCCCCGUCUUCAAGCGCAAGGUCGUCGAGUUCGAGUGGCAGUAGGUGGAGAUGGCGGCAAUGCAGAAGUCCGUGAGCCGGUCUUACCUCAGGGGAGACGUCGACGUCAAGAGGUAGCAGUGGUUGAAGUUCUUACCACAGUUCGAGGUCCAGCAGGUUUCCUUCUUGAUUAUACUCACAUACUGCCAUUCAAACACUGACUGAUAAAUACAUCAUCGUCAUGUACGAACGAGGUAAGUUACACACGCUUAAGUCUAAGAACUUUCACACAUUAGCAAAACAAGUUAAAUUAUUUUCAACACUAAAAAAAGCUUUUAUUAUCUAAAUACUAUUUCUAAGUGGCCUUCAUGUUUUGCGGAGUUUAUAUUAUUUUUAAUGUGACUCCAGGUACCUGAUGGCUUACUGGUAACGCCGGUGUCUUACUCGGCAGCUGCGCGGUAACAACGGCGAGGGUAUGGCCUCGGCCUGACUGGAACAGCUAUUGUCAGCCCUUCAGAAGCACGUGCACGGGGAUUCCUGAUCGCAGAGCCUUGGUGUCAACAGCGACAACUUAGGAACUUAGCUUGACUUUUUAAACUGUGGUUUAUAGCUGCAUACUAUGCAAAGGUUACAUAGAUAUUAAAAACUAACAAAGUACGAUAAUAUAAUAGUUAAAACCUACAAAAUAUACGUAAUAAUAUAAUAAAAACCCUGAUUGAAUAAUUGGAUCACGCGGUCAACAACAAAAAAGGAAACAAAAACAGAAAUGUCUUUUAAGUAUGGUUUGUUUCAAGUUUACCUUGCUUUGAAAAUUGCUAAAAAGAACCUGGUGUUCUAUGAGACCUUCGAAGGCCUCCUCCGGUCCUCUCGGUGCUCCACCGGUGUUCGAGUCCCCCGAGUGGGGGGUUCGAACACCCUGGGAACACCGUGAAGAUUGGGAUUAAGAAGAAGAUAUUUAUGGGUUUAUAAGGGGCAUCUGGUCUCCGUGUGGUUUUGAUGAAAAGGUGACGGCGUUCAAAAAUAGAAGCACUCUAGGGUAGACCCCUGGAAAAGGCCAGGAGGCGACUUCCCCCUGAGCUAGUGCUUCCCGAAGAUGUAGUUGGAACGAUGGGAAGGCUACAACACACUCAUCAAAUGGUGUCUGGAUGCCCAGGUAUCGAUCAUCGAUCUACAGAAGAGGAGAGAGAAACUAGAAGUCAUGUUACAAGAGGAGCUACAAGAACCUCUUGAUAAACUACAUUAGAAAAAACGUCACACAAACAACUCUAGGCUACUUAACACCCAAAUACUAGUCUAACAGAUACUUAUAAUAAACUCAGAAGAAACUUGAGAAAAUACGUACUAAAUAUAUCGAAACAUAAAGAGAGGCUAGAUAACUAAACCAAACCGGUUGAUCUAAUUAAAAAGAAUGUUAUCCUCUCCACGAAACAUUACCCAAGUUAGAACG